UACGAAGGGGGCUAGCGUUGUUCGGAUUUACUGGGCGUAAAGCGCACGUAGGCGGUUUGUUAAGUCAGAGGUGAAAUCCCGGAGCUCAACUCCGGAACUGCCUUUGAUACUGGCAAGCUAGAGUCCGGAAGAGGUAAGUGGAACUCCUAGUGUAGAGGUGGAAUUCGUAGAUAUUAGGAAGAACACCAGUGGCGAAAGGCGGCUUACUGGUCCGGAACUGACGCUGAGGUGCGAAAGCGUGGGGAGCAAACAGG
rnacentral:rRNA from 1 species